CCGUUCUUCUUUCAGGGCCCCACAAAAUCCAGUCAUUUGGAAGAAGUUGUUUCAGCGACCAACAUGUCAGCAAUUAUCACAUUAACAGGUGGGUCGGCUGGUGUCACCAUCUCACAUACAGGUCACAAGAUGUGCUGGGCUCCCCCUCCAUGAAUCCCAAGAAUCCCAUCAUGCCCUAGGAGUUUAAAAGCUCCAAUCCAGCUCGAACUCAACCUCACAUGACUCCAGUUCCCAUCACCAACUUGACUCCAGUCCCUUGUUGUUCAGUCCUGCUGUUUGCAUCCAGCGGUGUAGUUGUGACAGUGGCUUUCAAUGAGAAUCCAGUUGGCCUUCCCUCUCUUGUACCCCUCAUUAACGUUGGCCCCCAUGUCAAAGCCCUGGGCUGCAGAGGGGAAGGCUCUCAUGGUGUCUCUGCUGUACGGAGAGCCAGGUCUGAUCCCAGCCAUGAGGAGCCCACAGGCGGAGAGCCCUGUUUAAAAUUCCGCUCUGCAACGUGUCGGCUUUCCAAUCCACCGGGAUUACAUUAUUAAACUUACACAAGCUCAUUUCCAUACAAAGCAGGAUAUCAGCGGCAGAGAGUCAUGCAUAUUUAUCGCCGUGUGCCUGGCUUACGCACGAAUACACUCGCACAAUAACCCACAAGCAGGCAUAUCUUAGUCGUGGUACAUAAGUGAGGGAGGAAACCGAGGUGCAUUCCUAAUGGUUUGAGCAUGAGAGGUCCUGAGUGAGGAUGGUCAGUGAAAUCUACAUGUCAAUCACCUGACAAACCGACACAUAAAUAGGCAGUUUCUCACACACAAACAGGGGAGAUGAGAUGAGUUACAAUUUGAGAUCUGACGAGAAGUGUUUUACUGAUAAUCUACAUGCACAGUCAUGCACACACGGUCCAGCCAAGCCUCCACUUGUCCAUUUUGACUGUUCCCUGCUAGUAGCUAGUUCCCUUAAUGUCCUGACUCCCUAUUCUCAGUUCCAUUUCCCUGCCUGUGUCUCCCCCCGUUCCUGCUGUCCCACUGUUCUUCUCCUCCUGCACCGGUUUCUCCUCUCCUCCUUCUCCUCCCCCUCUUUUCUUCCUUGCCCUCCUUCAGGUGAUGUCCGUCCCUCCUCCUCCUCCUGUGAGAUUGCUGCUGUGUCUUAUGGCUUUUUAUUCCUACGUGAGGGUAGAUGUGUUCAUGUAGGGAUAGAAGCCACUAAACACACGGUGAGAGGUCAACGUGCAGGCCAGUAGAGCCAAGGCUUCCUUUUCCACACAGAGCAAAUACCCUGCGGUGAAGUUACAGUGGAGUUUACUGUCUAACUCUAGGUCUACAUGCAACCGUUAAGUGACUUCUUAAGAGAAAUUCCAAACACAUAGGCCUAAACAGAGUAGCAACUCUCAAAGACCCACCAACAAAGGCCCAGUACUAAAGGCUGUAACAAAGCCAAAGAAGGUCCUAAGAUAUAGUUCAAAACCAGUCUGUAAUUCACUGGUUAUCAAACAACCUUGUUCAAGAAAUCCUUAAGAAAAGGGAUGACAUUUCUCUGCUGACAAAUGGAUGGAAUACUUCAAGCUAAGGUAGGUCCACUACAUCCAUCUAAACUGAGGUGAGUUUCGUCCAGGUUCCCAACCCCAAAUAGGCUGAACAUUAGAAUCCUGAGAUGAAUCACUGUAAAGGGUGAAAUGUUAUUCUAUGUGCUUUAUAAUGAUGACAAAUAAAACCUACUUCUAGCUGCCAUCAUAGCUGAAGUGUAAUAAUUCAACACCCUCACUAAUGUACAUGAAUGUUCACACUAUAAAUCUACAUCACAACACAUGAUAGGAGCAUCAAUUAUUGACAGUGUUUUCUAUAGACCUCCAAGCUUUCAGGGAGAAUAUGUUGGAAUAGAUUACUGCCAAUGGAUUUGCUGCCUGAGGCUGUGUGUGCCUGUCUGUUUUCCUGAGUUGAGUUGAUGCAUUAAUAUGAAGUCUUUGUAUGUAUAUACAUGCAUCUCUGUCUUUUAAGAAUCUAUCUCCUGGCAGACUUAGAUUUUCCUGUAAUAAAUAAUGCUCUUUUGUGUUUUGUGUUGUUGCCGUUCUUCAUUUGUUUUCUUUCAUAUUUUCAAUGGUGAGACUUGAUGAAUAAAUUAUGCAUUCAGCUAA